CGCCUGUUUAUCAAAAACAUCGCCUGUAGCCCCUCCUCUAUUACAGGUAUACCCUGCCCAGUGUAACUGUAUCAACGGCCGCGGUACCCUGACCGUGCAAAGGUAGCAUAAUAAUUUGCCUUUUAAUUGGAGGCUGGUAUGAAAGGGAAAACGAGAAUAGCCCUGUCUCCGACACGUACAUAAAAACUUAUCUUCAGGUGAAGAAGCCUGAAUCAAUAUAAAAGACAAGAAGACCCCGUCGAGCUUUAGUCUGAUCUUAGGGUCACAGUUAAUUCCAAUAUACUUCCCCCUAUAAGCGACUUUUGUUGGGGCGACAACGGACUAAUUUAUCAUCCGACAAACCGUAGAUCCUUAAUCAUACAAAAGAUCCUCUACAGACCACAAGAACAAGCUACCGCAGGGAUAACAGACUAAUCUCCCCCCGGAGCCCAAAUCUACGGGGAGGCUUGGCACCUCGAUGUUGGCUUAGGGAUCUCUCUUAAAUGAAGCAGUUUAAGAAGUGGGUUUGUUCAACCCUUAAUACCCUACGUGAUCUGAGUUCAGACCGG
rnacentral:rRNA from 1 species